CAGACUGGUUGAUGUUGGCAGCUGUGUUAUGAUACCUGGAGAAAGUACUUCUGCAGUGUUCUUCAUGUAAGCAAGAGCUGUUGGCACUGAAAAUCUUCCCCAACAUGGAUUCUCCUGAGCUGCCAUCCAGUUUCUGCGUGGCAUUAACCAUCACCACACUUGACUCUUCCCGGAUGAGGAGCUAUUUUAUACCUUCCAGCUGACAGACACCUGACCUAGAACCCUGGAAUUAAUGGUCUUCCUAGCUGGUUUCUUGUUGGGCCAUUUGUGCUGCAAGGGUGAGUGUUGAAGAUACAGAUUGAAUCUGCAGCUCUGAACACCGCGAAUUGCUUAAUUCAUCUUAAUAGAGGUAUUCGCUCUGAACCUGAAAAGCUUUUAGCUGAGAUUUAGCCUGUGGUUUGCUAUUACAAACUGCUUGGUGGUAACAUUGGUUUAAGACAUUGCUGUCUGCUGGCCUCUUGUACUUGCUGCUGUGCUGGCACAACUACUCCUGUGGUUGGGAACCAGAUGGGAGGAGCCAUCCACCUUGAGGGAGGGAAGGUUUAGUUUGUGUUUGUGUGUUUAAAGCAGGAAAAGUUUCUCUGUCUACUUCAGCACUUGGUCACACCAAAUUUUCCUGGCACAAACGAGUGGGAAGAGCACAUUGGCAUGGAGGGAAAUGAGCGACAGAGGGUGAAAGGUGUCUUGGCAGACACUUCCAAUCUAUGCCCUUAUCUCCCAGUUUCCAGCCAUCUUCAAAGGUUUUCCAGCCUCCCGUGUUUUGCAAAUGGGCCCUGCAGCCCAUUGGUAUUGAAAAUGUGUGAAUGAAUAAAAUCAUUGGAG